rnacentral:tRNA from 2 species
CGGGACGUGGCGCAGUCUGGUAGCGCACUUGCUUGGGGUGCAAGUGGUCGUCGGUUCAAAUCCGGCCGUCCCGACCA